GAUGAACGCUGGCGGCGUGCCUAAUACAUGCAAGUCGAGCGAACGGACGAGAAGCUUGCUUCUCUGAUGUUAGCGGCGGACGGGUGAGUAACACGUGGAUAACCUACCUAUAAGACUGGGAUAACUUCGGGAAACCGGAGCUAAUACCGGAUAAUAUUUUGAACCGCAUGGUUCAAAAGUGAAAGACGGUCUUGCUGUCACUUAUAGAUGGAUCCGCGCUGCAUUAGCUAGUUGGUAAGGUAACGGCUUACCAAGGCAACGAUGCAUAGCCGACCUGAGAGGGUGAUCGGCCACACGGGAACUGAGACACGGUCCAGACUCCUACGGGAGGCAGCAGUAGGGAAUCUUCCGCAAUGGGCGAAAGCCUGACGGAGCAACGCCGCGUGAGUGAUGAAGGUCUUCGGAUCGUAAAACUCUGUUAUUAGGGAAGAACAUAUGUGUAAGUAACUGUGCACAUCUUGACGGUACCUAGUCAGAAAGCCACGGCUAACUACGUG
rnacentral:rRNA from 1 species